AGUGGUCCCGGCAAAAUCAUCUUGGACAAGGCACUGCACCAUGAAGAUUCUGCAGAGGCUGAGCAAAGGAGUGAAGUCGUCCCUCCUCCUCUUCACCCUGGCCCAGACGGUCAUCUCUGCCAUCCUCUGCUUCCUCCUCUUCAGACAGAGACACAACUUCGGACAGUACACUACUCUCACUGAAGAUG